GGGGGCGUAAUGGUUUCGACGGGAAUUACGCGCUUGUUGAGUGCAUGCCGAGGUUCCGCAGGCCUCGUUAAAAAGGCGGACCUAUUUAAUUGCCAAUGAUCAAGCAUUACCACUCGCUGCUUAAUUAGUUAAGUAGCGGUCGCUUCGCCCGGUUUGGUCUCGUUGGCUGGGCUAUGGCGUCAUAAAGGCGAGAAUAGCGGGUUGGAGUGUCUUCGACCAACCGGCGAAUCUAAAGAGGGCUAACCGCGUUGCAAGCUGUCUGUGCGUUUCAACGCGGUGAUUUCAAGCAUAGACUACGCAUGUAGGACUCUCCAAGUAAGGAUUUUCGGACGCGGGUUCGACUCCCGCCGCCUCCACAG
rnacentral:tmRNA from 1 species